UACGUAGGGGGCUAGCGUUAUCCGGAAUUACUGGGCGUAAAGGGUGCGUAGGUGGUCUUUCAAGCCAGAAGUGAAAGGCUACGGCUCAACCGUAGUAAGCUUUUGGAACUGUAAGACUUGAGUGCAGGAGAGGAGAGUGGAAUUCCUAGUGUAGCGGUGAAAUGCGUAGAUAUUAGGAGGAACACCAGUAGCGAAGGCGGCUCUCUGGACUGUAACUGACGCUGAGGCACGAAAGCGUGGGGAGCAAACAGGAUUAGAUACCCGCGUAGUCCCUGA
rnacentral:rRNA from 1 species